CCUACGGGGGGCAGCAGUGGGGAAUAUUGCACAAUGGGGGAAACCCUGAUGCAGCGACGCCGCGUGAGUGAAGAAGUAUUUCGGUAUGUAAAGCUCUAUCAGCAGGGAAGAAAAUGACGGUACCUGAUUAAGAAGCCCCGGCUAACUACGUGCCAGCAGCCGGGGUAAUACGUAGGGGGCAAGCGUUAUCCGGAUUUACUGGGGGUAAAGGGAGCGUAGACGGCAGCACAAGUCUGGAGUGAAAUGCCGGGGCUUAACCCCGGAACUGCUUUGGAAACUGUGCAACUAGAGUGCAGGAGGGGGAAGUGGAAUUCCUGGUGUAGCGGUGAAAUGCGUAGAUAGUAGGAGGAACA
rnacentral:rRNA from 1 species